CAACAUUUUCCAACAACACCAUCAACCUUCCCUCAACGCUCUGUGCCACUAAAUACAUAUGACGAUGUACAUCUCUGUGGUGGCAGUGAUCAUUACCCUAUCAGGACAUUGUGGAGGAGAUUCAGUGACACAGCUGCAAUCUACUGUGACAGCGAAUGAAGGGGAGUUUAUUUAUCUGCAGUGUAAUUAUACAGCUGCAAGUACCACCAAUAACUAUCUGUUCUGGUACCGUCACUUUCCCAACAAAUCUCCAGAAUUUAUCCUCAGCACAUCCUCCAACAACAGGAUCAAGCAAAAUGCAGACUUUGCAAAAGAACGUUUCUCAGCGAAUGUGGAUGAAAUGGGCAGAACCGUCCAAUUGAAAGUAUUACAAGUGAGAGUUGCAGACUCCGCGGGGUACUACUGUGCACUGAGCCCCACAGAGGCACAGAUCAGCGAUUGCGCCCUACAAAAACUGCGGUGUGGGUUCCUGUAG